CUUCGGGUUAGUGGCGGACGGGUGAGUAACGCGUGGGAAUCUGCCCUCAGGAGGGGGACAACGGCUGGAAACGGCCGCUAAUACCCCAUAUGCCGAGAGGUGAAAUGAAUUUCGCCUGAGGAUGAGCCCGCGUUUGAUUAGCUAGUUGGUGUGGUAAUGGCUCACCAAGGCUUCGAUCAGUAGCUGGUCUGAGAGGAUGAUCAGCCACACUGGGACUGAGACACGGCCCAGACUCCUACGGGAGGCAGCAGUGGGGAAUUUUCCGCAAUGGGCGAAAGCCUGACGGAGCAACGCCGCGUGAGGGAUGAAGGCCUCUGGGCUGUAAACCUCUUUUUUCAAGGAAGAAGACCUGACGGUACCUGAAGAAUAAGCCACGGCUAAUUCCGUGCCAGCAGCCGCGGUAACACGGGAGUGGCAAGCGUUAUCCGGAAUUAUUGGGCGUAAAGCGUCCGCAGGCGGCCCUGAAAGUCUGUCGUUAAAGCGUGGAGCUCAACUCCAUUUAAGCGAUGGAAACUACAGGGCUAGAGUGUGGUAGGGGCAGAGGGAAUUCCCGGUGUAGCGGUGAAAUGCGUAGAUAUCGGGAAGAACACCAGUGGCGAAGGCGCUCUGCUGGGCCAUAACUGACGCUCAUGGACGAAAGCCAGGGGAGCGAAAGGGAUUAGAUACCCCUGUAGUCCUGGCCGUAAACGAUGAACACUAGGUGUCGGGGGAAUCGACCCCCUCGGUGUCGUAGCCAACGCGUUAAGUGUUCCGCCUGGGGAGUACGCACGCAAGUGUGAAACUCAAAGGAAUUGACGGGGGCCCGCACAAGCGGUGGAGUAUGUGGUUUAAUUCGAUGCAACGCGAAGAACCUUACCAGGGUUUGACAUCCUGCGAAUCCCUUGGAAACGAGGGAGUGCCUUCGGGAGCGCAGAGACAGGUGGUGCAUGGCUGUCGUCAGCUCGUGUCGUGAGAUGUUGGGUUAAGUCCCGCAACGAGCGCAACCCACGUCGUUAGUUGCCAGCAUUCAGUUGGGCACUCUAGCGAGACCGCCGGUGAUAAACCGGAGGAAGGUGUGGAUGACGUCAAGUCAUCAUGCCCCUUACAUCCUGGGCUACACACGUACUACAAUGCUACGGACAAAGGGCAGCAAGCUCGCGAGAGUUAGCAAAUCCCAUAAACCGUGGCUCAGUUCAGAUCGUAGGCUGCAACUCGCCUACGUGAAGGAGGAAUCGCUAGUAAUCGCAGGUCAGCAUACUGCGGUGAAUACGUUCCCGGGCCUUGUACACACCGCCCGUCACACCAUGGAAGUUGGCCACGCCCGAAGUCGUUACUCCAACC
rnacentral:rRNA from 1 species